AGCUCGUAGGCGGUUUGUCGCGUCUGCUGUGAAAACCCGAGGCUCAACCUCGGGCCUGCAGUGGGUACGGGCAGACUAGAGUGCGGUAGGGGAGAAUGGAAUUCCUGGUGUAGCGGUGGAAUGCGCAGAUAUCAGGAGGAACACCGAUGGCGAAGGCAGUUCUCUGGGCCGUUACUGACGCUGAGGAGCGAAAGCGUGGGGAGCGAACAGGAUUAGAUACCCUGGUAGUCCACGCCGUAAACGUUGGGAACUAGAUGUGGGGACCUUUCCACGGUCUCCGUGUCGCAGCUAACGCAUUAAGUUCCCCGCCUGGGGAGUACGGCCGCAAGGCUAAAACUCAAAGGAAUUGACGGGGGCCCGCACAAGCGGCGGAGCAUGCGGAUUAAUUCGAUGCAACGCGAAGAACCUUACCAAGGCUUGACAUAUACCGGAAACUUCCAGAAAUGGUUGCCCCGCAAGGUCGGUAUACAGGUGGUGCAUGGUUGUCGUCAGCUCGUGUCGUGAGAUGUUGGGUUAAGUCCCGCAACGAGCGCAACCCUCGUUCUAUGUUGCCAGCACGUCAUGGUGGGAACUCAUAGGAGACUGCCGGGGUCAACUCGGAGGAAGGUGGGGAUGACGUCAAAUCAUCAUGCCCCUUAUGUCUUGGGCUUCACGCAUGCUACAAUGGCCGGUACAAAGGGCUGCGAUACCGUAAGGUGGAGCGAAUCCCAAAAAGCCGGUCUCAGUUCGGAUUGAGGUCUGCAACUCGACCUCAUGAAGUCGGAGUCGCUAGUAAUCGCAGAUCAGCAACGCUGCGGUGAAUACGUUCCCGGGCCUUGUACACACCGCCCGUCAAGUC
rnacentral:rRNA from 1 species